GGAAAUCCGAGCGCGGCGACUCGCCGCAGCGCACUCUGCUCCUACUCCCCACUCGCCGAUCUGGCCCCGGCUGCCGCGGGCCCUUCGCGGGGAGGCUGGGUUCCGUGGGCCGAGCGCGCAUGGAGAUUCAUCACCCCAGAUGCUGCCAAAUUCCCAAGUCAGUACUUCCAAGCUACUGGCCAGCUCUUUAUGAGAAUAUACUGAAAGUCACCCCUGUGGAUUCCUACAACAUCCCAGGGAUGAGGGGCUCGGAGAGUACUGCCGGAUUGGACUUAAGACCAGCACAGUUGUAGAUAAUAAAUAUCCUAAAAAGGAUAUUAUAAAUUCUUUUGGAAAAUUUUUUACAAAUAUUGUUAAACAUUUACAGAAUUCUAAAUCUCAAUUUCAAUAAUAGCAUAAGACUACCACUUUAAAAUUGCAUCUGUUUUGCAAGUAAAAAAUAACAAAGGCAUUCACUGGUGUUACAGAAUAAAGCCAGAGAAAGGGAGACUAUGAUAAGGUAAUUCUAGCAUAGUCGGAUUUAUAUUGAAUGUAUGCUGCACAAGAUUCCAUGCUAUCCACACAAGGCCAUCAAUCAGAUCUUUGAGACUAGAUAAAUAAAAUGCAUUUUAGUUUGAGUAGAACUUCCUAGAGGCUAGGGUUCAUGUUAUCUUUAAUUCAAGACAUUAAGACAUUAAUGACACACCUACUACGUUCUAGACUAUAUAGUAGGCACUGAGGGAUGCAAAAAUAAAUAAAAUUCCUGCCCUUGAGGAGCUCACAGUCUGCAGCUGUCAGGAAUAACAUCUGAUAUUUAUUGAAUGAUUACUAUGACCUAGGCACUGACAUGAAAACUUUAUGUCAACUUACUGCUCAAAGUAGCCAGUCUAUUGCAGGAAAAAAUGUUUUUUCAUUUCUAAAAUGUUUAUGCCAGGUAUAACAUUUAUGGUAUAUGUUGGGUUGCUGAGUUAUAACUCAGGGAAACCGCAAUUUAUUUAAAUGUGAUAAAUUUUUUCCUAGUCUGUAAAGAACAAUUCAUGCUCUGAGCUUGUUUUUCAGAUUGAACAGUGGGUCUUAAAAAAAUUAUUAGUAUUACCAUACUAAUAAUUUCUUUAGAUUGGCACUGACCUUAUUCUGCAUUUUAACUGCCUUAAAUUCUACAUUCAUUUGAAAGUGGGGGCCAAAGUCAGAUUGGCAACAAGUUUUGCAGACAAAAGGAAAUCCUAGUUGUAAAUCCCAUGAUAUAUUUUACUCAAUUCUGUAUGUGAUACUGUCUAAUGUGCUGUCUUAUUAAAGAACUCCACAUCCAUUUGGCUUACAUUAGAGGGAAACUUAACUGCAGUUUAACAUAUUGUUCAUUUUCAACACUGUCACGUUACAUUCAUGGGGAGCACAUUUUAAUUUCUUUAUCAGUAAUCAACUCGAAGUUUCUUUUUGUUAAAGCAAGGGUUUUUAAAUAAAGGGCAUGGGGGUAGGACGCCACCUUUUGGUGGUAAAACAAAUAGAAAUCCCUUUUUAAACAGAUGUUCCUGACAUCGUCUCAUUUUUAAUUACAAGGCAAAGGUGCUUGUCCCCAUUUUGUGAUACUUUAAGUAAUAGGGGACAAAAACGUAAAUGCAAAAUUAGCAAAUUAUAGUUAACUGUGGCCAAAAUUUUCCCAAAGGUAUCAGAACAUGUUAGUGCCCUGCCAUGUACUAUUAACUAUUAGUCAAAUACCAACUUGGUUCUGCAAAUAUCGUGUCAAUGAAUAGAUGCACAUUUUGAGGAACAGAAACUGAAGUGGAUGUUUACCACUUAAUGAGAUACGUGAAUGCUCUUCUAAGUUUUGAGUAAACAGAAACUUUAAAAUCACCUAAUUCAAUGUUUCUUAAACUAUAAUUACCAUCUUCCUAACUUUUGCCAUAACUAUAUAACAAUAUUUCCUGAAUAAUUAAUAUGCUAUGCUCAUUAGAGUACAGUUAUUAUGGUAAUUGUCCAAAUAUUUUCCUUUAAAUCAACCUAUAUUUUAUUUAUUUUUCUAUUACUAGUUUAAAUGAGAAAUCAGUAUCACCCUCCAUAAAUUAAAAACAAUCACAGUGAAAACUAAACCACUGACUUCUCUUUGUUAGAAAUGGACAGUGGCAAAAAAUAUAAAAAUUAAAAAUAAUUUUUUAAAAAACAGUGGCAAGUGUUGAGAAGUGUUAAUAGCAGGAGUAUCAAUGGAGAAUUGGUUUUCUCUUUGUUUUUGUGGACAACCAGAAGGAUUGAAAGUGAUUGCAAAGGGAGUAUCGUUCUCAAUAUGUGAUUUAAUGUUAUCUAAUGCCAUCCCAGUGGCAAGACUCCUACACUUUGAGAAACAUCAAAUUACCAAAUAGAAAGCUGAGGCCCAGGAAGGUUAGAUCACCCUCUAAGGCCAAAUAAUUGGUUAGUGGUUGGAAAAGGAUCAGAACCCAGGUGCCUGGACUCGAUGGCUUUAUGUAUUUCAGUCUCAUGCUUUCCACUUCACAAGAGAUGUGCCACUCAUCCUCACACAUUAUGUGGCCUGUCUGGCUUUUCAGAAACGGCCAACCUAAAUAUCCCUUUACAGACAGAGGAGAAACAGAGGCCACGGAGGGUCAAGUUCAACCCCCUACUCACCCUUACCUCUCCCUCAGGUGUGGCAGAUGUCCAGGUGGGGGUAAACACAGAGAAGUAAAGGGGGGAGGGCUGGGAGGAGAAAAAGGAAGUAGAGAGAAGAGAGAGGUUAGUAACAAGUGGUCAGACUCUUCUUUAAAUGAAAACUUACACUCCUCUUUCCUUCCCAGAAGAGAAAAAUGGCUAAUGAAAAUAAUGUGUUUCACAGUAAGUGGCAAGAGAAGUGUCCUUCAUUCUGAUGUCACUGUAUGUCCACACCAGAAAUCAACAGAGAGCUCCUGUUUUAAAGUAUACAAUAUUAGACACUCUAGGAAAAACCACAUUUGAUAAUAAUAGAGUGGUUUGAAAAGCUGGUCAAAGAAUGGUGAAAGAUCCCAGUUUUAAAAGGCUUUUCCCCCAAAACAAAAUUUGAUCAGAGGCUCAUCAUUAAAACUAUAAACAAUAGUUCAUUUUCUGAAGUUUUAACCACAAAGAGAGGCCUUAGUUAUAAAGAUUGCAUUUCCUGCUUUCUUCCUUUUAAAGGCACAGUUCUAUAAAUAUAAACAUGGCCUGCAAAUAUUUUUUAUGUUUUUCUAAUUGGUCCUGGUGAAAAGAGGUUGCUGAUAACUAUAGUCUAUAACUCUUUGUCCUGUGGUUCCCAGUGGAUUGUAAUCCCUAUAAACUGCAAUGCACAAUGAAGCAUUUGGCCAAGUACUUCCACCCCAAAAAGCUAUUCUAGUCCCGUAACCCCUGAAGAUUCACAGUGCAACAUGUUGGUAAUUUGAAAGACGCAUAAAGGGAGUACGACAGCUCAAUCCUACUUGCCAGAGGUAAUGAGAACAAUCUAGAGCCUUGCUAUACAAAAUGAGAUAUGCUGACCUGCAACAUGGGCACCACCUGAGAGUAUGUUAAAAAUGUAGAAUCAGUCCACUCCCUAUACCUACUGAAUCAAAAUCUGCAUUUUAACAAAUCUUCCCAGCUGAGUCUGACACUCAUACAAGUUUCAGAAACACAUCUGCAGUGCACGUAGCCACUCACAUAACACGCACCAUCUCCACAAUCUUUACAGUCUUAAACUGCUCAACAGCACUGUAAGCUGUAUGCCAUACCUGGUUCUCCAAGCUGGUGUCUUUUGUAAACUUUGUUGGUUCCUUGUUUUCAACCACGUGCAAAGUUAAGCCACUAAAUCACCUAUGUAAACCAUGAUUAAUUCCUUUAACAUUAAUAGCAGGGUGACUUCUCUCUCCUGUUACCCCAAAGAGACUGCUAAUUGCCCUCCAAUUGUUUACCUUUGUAUUGUUUUAUGAGUGCUCAGAGAAGGAUGGAAGAUAUUCCCCACCACGCCAGAAACAAAUGCCAGACAGGUUUUGGGAAGACUGAACACAUGCUAUGACUACACCGUGUUAGUAGAAGGGCUUUGCUUUCUUUGUUUUGUUUUCUUUUUUAUGGAAGGGAUGACGCCUCCGUAAUUACAGGUAUUGCUGUUUAAAACUGAGAACGUUUUCCAAACCACUGAGGGGCCACACCUCUGGCAACCCAUGAGCCGUCCUGUUUGGAUUCUCUUUCCAGUUCCCUACGCAGUUUAUAAAGACACAUCCAAGCACCACUAGAUUUACAUUGAGUAUAAUGAAAGGAAGGAGGACCCCAUCUAAGUAUGGUUGCUUCAUCAAUAAACAUGUAGGAACCACAGGUAAACCUCCCUGCUGAUUGUUCAUUUGUUUCUGUGAAGUUCUCAAAAAGACUAGUCACUUUACCUUCCUAACAAGAAAACAAGUUACUUUUGUAACCGCCCAAAAAAUAAUUAAAACUAUUGUUUUAAUACUGUCCUAAGGCACUAUAAUUAAGUCUCUGAGUAAUUGUGUACCUGAAUUUAAAAUAAGAUUUCACGUGUAAAGCAAAAUUCUGAUUAUAAUCUCUGAGAAGUGUCUUGGCUUAAAUUUAGAAUCCACAGGUACCAGCUCAGUAUUACAAUAGGUAUUGUUCUGUAGGCUGGAGACAAACUGUUUGUAUGAGAAGGGAAAUGAGGCAGGUCUUCCCACCUUCAGGCACAGUGAGGUUGUGUGUUCCAAAUUACAGAAGAUUUUAAAAGGAGCUGAAGAAUACUAAGCAUGGGGAUAGGCUGAGAUUUUUGUUAUGCUAAAUUCAAGAUUUUUUUUUUAGUAACAUCUAUAAAAUAGCUAUCAAGAGAAGCUCCCCACCCCUCAGGCCCAGGAUGUUCUUGAGCCACUGUUAAAGUUAAAAAGCCAUAUAAAGAUUAAAACUCUGAUAUCCCCAAGGCUAGGAUGAAUCCUUUGGUAAUGAAUUGGAGUAUAUAAAUAUAAAUAUACAUUUAUAUUUACAGAUAAAUACAGAAAUAGACCUCUAUGUAUAUGUAUGUGUAAGUUAAUAUACAUACAUAUAUUUCCUAGCUCCGUCCACUAAAAGGGGCUAGAAGCAGCAAAUACACCCCAAUAGCAAUGAGCACAACUAGCACCCAGAUCUUGUUUUCUAAAUACCUUUCUCCAAUAAAAGAAAUUAGGGAUCUUGAAAAACUAGUUAAUUCCAGGGAUGGGGCAGGGAAAAUACAAGAUUAGCCUGGCGUAUCUUAUGCCAGAAAGUGCUAAAGGAAGAAAAAAAAAAAAAAAA